rnacentral:rRNA from 1 species
GAUGAACGCUGGCGGCGUGCUUAACACAUGCAAGUCGAACGAUGAAGCUCAGCUUGCUGGGUGGAUUAGUGGCGAACGGGUGAGUAACACGUGAGUAACCUGCCCUUAACUCUGGGAUAAGCCUGGGAAACUAGGUCUAAUACCGGAUAGGAGCGCCUACCGCAUGGUGGGUGUUGGAAAAAUUUAUCGGUUUUGGAUGGACUCGCGGCCUAUCAGCUUGUUGGUGAGGUAAUGGCUCACCAAGGCGACGACGGGUAGCCGGCCUGAGAGGGUGACCGGCCACACUGGGACUGAGACACGGCCCAGACUCCUACGGGAGGCAGAAGUGGGGAAUAUUGCACAAUGGGCGAAAGCCUGAUGCAGCGACGCCGCGUGAGGGAUGACGGCCUUCGGGUUGUAAACCUCUUUCAGUAGGGAAGAAGCGAAAGUGACGGUACCUGCAGAAGAAGCACCGGCUAACUACGUG